rnacentral:piRNA from 1 species
AAGUCAUGGUUAUUUUGGUUGAGGGAGAAG